rnacentral:misc_RNA from 1 species
UUCAGGGUGGAGGAAGAAUUGCAAAGGCUAAAUGCUAAUGACUACCAACACAACAUUAUCUGUAGAUAAAACUUUUAAUACAAUAACAAUAAUGCAAUCAAACAUGGACAUAUAUGAGCCUAAAAAAAUCUGUUCAUCUGUUCCCAUAAACUAGACCUAGGACUAAGAGACAAAAUAACAUCCAUCAAAUUAUCCAUCAAAUUACUUUCCAAUUGAAUAGAAAAGGCAAAAACAGAACUAAAACCAAACUCCCAGAUAUCCUAUUUAGCAAAAAAUUUUCCACAAUCAAUUUCUAUCAGAUUGGAAACUAUUGUUCUCUGCAAACUUUGUUUUUAAGACUCACCUGUCUUGAA